rnacentral:rRNA from 1 species
CACGUAGGGCGCAAGCGUUGUCCGGAAUUAUUGGGCGUAAAGAGCUCGUAGGCGGUUUGUCGCGUCUGCUGUGAAAUCUCGGGGCUCAACUCCGAGCUUGCAUUCGAUACGGGCAGGCUAGAGUUCGGUAGGGGAGACUGGAAUUCCUGGUGUAGCGGUGAAAUGCGCAGAUAUCAGGAGGAACACCGGUGGCGAAGGCGGGUCUCUGGGCCGUAACUGACGCUGAGGAGCGAAAGCGUGGGGAGCGAACAGG